CAGCAGCCGCGGUAAUACGAAGGGGGCUAGCGUUGCUCGGAAUUACUGGGCGUAAAGGGAGCGUAGGCGGACAUUUAAGUCAGGGGUGAAAUCCCAGAGCUCAACUCUGGAACUGCCUUUGAUACUGGGUGUCUUGAGUGUGAUAGAGGUAUGUGGAACUCCGAGUGUAGAGGUGAAAUUCGUAGAUAUUCGGAAGAACACCAGUGGCGAAGGCGACAUACUGGAUCAUUACUGACGCUGAGGCUCGAAAGCGUGGGGAGCAAACAGGAUAAGAUACCCGCGUAGUCCCUGUCUCUUAUAC
rnacentral:rRNA from 1 species